rnacentral:rRNA from 1 species
GACGAACGCUGGCGGCGUGCCUAAUACAUGCAAGUAGAACGCUGAAGGAGGAGCUUGCUUCUCUGGAUGAGUUGCGAAUGGGUGAGUAACGCGUAGGUAACCUGCCUGGUAGCGGGGGAUAACUAUUGGAAACGAUAGCUAAUACCGCAUAAUAGUAGAUGUUGCAUGACAUUUGCUUAAAAGGUGCAAUUGCAUCACUACCAGAUGGACCUGCGUUGUAUUAGCUAGUUGGUGGGGUAACGGCUCACCAAGGCGACGAUACAUAGCCGACCUGAGAGGGUGAUCGGCCACACUGGGACUGAGACACGGCCCAGACUCCUACGGGAGGCAGCAGUAGGGAAUCUUCGGCAAUGGACGGAAGUCUGACCGAGCAACGCCGCGUGAGUGAAGAAGGUUUUCGGAUCGUAAAGCUCUGUUGUAAGAGAAGAACGAGUGUGAGAGUGGAAAGUUCACACUGUGACGGUAUCUUACCAGAAAGGGACGGCUAACUACGUG